rnacentral:rRNA from 1 species
UACGGGGGGGGCAAGCGUUGUUCGGAAUUACUGGGCGUAAAGGGCUCGUAGGCGGCCAAUUAAGUCGGAUGUGAAAUCCCCAGGCUUAACCUGGGAACUGCAUCCGAUACUGAUUGGCUUGAAUCCGGGAGAGGGAUGCGGAAUUCCAGGUGUAGCGGUGAAAUGCGUAGAUAUCUGGAGGAACACCGGUGGCGAAGGCGGCAUCCUGGACCGGCAUUGACGCUGAGGAGCGAAAGCCAGGGGAGCAAACGGG